rnacentral:lncRNA from 1 species
GCAUAAGGUACAUGAAGAUACAGGAGAAGUAGUAGUUGACCAAUAUAAUGAAUUAGAAAAACCCCCUUUAGAAAAAGCCUUUUUUAAAAAAGACCAUGCUUAUGAGGCAAUACAACCUAUAAUUCAUACACAAGAUAUACGUAAUAGUGACAUAAGAAAUAUCAAUUUACAAAACAACUGGAAUAAUAUAACUGUACAUAUCAUAGGAAAACAAUUAGAUAGAAUGGAAGAAAAGAUAGAUAGAAAUUAUGAGGCUAUAACAAAUAUAGAACAUAUAGAAACACCUCAAACACCAUCACCUACAAUACCCAAACCAAAUACAACUUAUUUAUCACAAAGAUAUAGUGAUGCAAAACCAUAUAAUAUAGAUCCUGCUAAGAAACAAACAAAUAAACCUUUCACAAAAAUAAUACCACCAUCCAAAAAUCCAAUAGAAAUAAUAAAUAUGACACCUAAAACAGAAUUAAAUAGUAUAUCAGAAACACUACAAAAAAUAAUUAAUGAACAAAAAUCCGUUAAAACUACUGCCUCAAAAGGAAUUAA